UAUAUAUUAUUAUUAUAAAGUUAAAAAAAAAAUCUAUUGCGGCCAUUGCAGUAUUAUAAUGUACUGUAUAGCAGCCACUUGCUGCAGCCAAACAUGGGGUUGCAUUGCUAAGUAAUGAGGGGUGCUAAAGACCCCCUAACGAAAUGAGAAAGAGAGAGAAAUAAAUUUUUCGAAAGAGCAUAAUUAUACUUCUUUUAAAUGAGUUUUUUUUUAUGAACUAAUAUUACAGGCGCGAAUUGUCUACAACAUGAAAUAAAAAGAUAAAAGUAAUAAACAAGUUAAUAUGAAGAAAUCCAAACUUUCAUAGAGAUUUUUAUGGUACUUCAAAGGAUUAAUAACUUCUAAUACAUAAUUCCAUUAUUGAGAUUGAUGCGAGUUUAAAAACUAGCUUAAAUAUUAAACUUAAAAUUAAAGAAUAUGAGUAAAACUAAACACCACUAUUAGCUAAAUAACUAAAUCCUAGUUUCUUGGCAUCAAGUACGCAUUAACCACAACUAAUAUCAUAAAUAGGGGUGAGCAUAAACCCACAACCCAUGGGUUUACCCAAACCCAAACCAAAUAAAAUGGUUUGGGUUGGGUAAAUCAUGAAAAUGGGUUAGAUGUGGGUUUUAUAUAGAAAACUAUUUUCAUUAUGGGUUGGGUAUGGUUUACUCAUGGGUCAUGGACAAAACCCCAACACUCAAAUUUUUCAAAUGAAAUAAAUGAAAACAAAAUAAAUGAGCACAAAUAAGUGAAAGGCCACUAUUAAAUUUUUUAUGGCAUGAUCAAUUGUCAACAGUUGGAAAAUGAAAAUAACAUGUAAAAAUAAAUUUAAAUUAAAUAAAUAUUGUUGUAAAUAGCAUAAUUUUUUUUUCUUAUUUACAAAAAUAAUUCCUCCCACAUGGAAGGAUCAUCAUAGAAAGAUCAGGAGACUCUACUAGUGAUCAAUAAUAACUCGACUUGGACUAGGUCCAAUAUGCUAGAUGGCGGCUAAUUUUUGGUCAAUAAUUGAAUGUAAUGCCCAUAUUAGGCCCUGUACAAAACUUUACUUACCAUAUAAUGAAAUUAGAAUAUAAAGCAUACACACUAUAUAAUAUCAGAAUGUAAAUAAAAUUAAACAUAUAAGUAGACAACAUAACGCAAAACUAUCAAAACGAUAAAUAAAAAUAAAUAUUGCAUAAUUAAAUAAAUAACAAGUGGCAAAAUUUAUUAUUAGAUUGUUAAUGUCAUGUUUGUGAAAGUUUAUUAUUAAAGUGUACGUUCUUAUUUAUUGAGAAAUAAUAAUUUUUGUGAUUAAACUUUAUUUUGA
rnacentral:lncRNA from 1 species